GGAAACCUGGCAUUCCCCUCAUCUGUGAAUUUAAAGAUUUUUUAAAAAUUUCGAAUUGCUUAGGGGUAAGGACAAAGAAUAUGUUAUCUCCAGACCCAUUUUUACCUACAGAUAACUUUUGCAGAUGGUAUAACUCUUCUCCGUUGUCCCUGCCCACUUCUUCCUGGCUCAGACUGUGACUGGCAUGCAGGCUAGGCGUCCCUGUGGUUUCCUGCUCUUGCUGUUGGAGUGACCAGCAAGUGACAGAAGAGGGCUGGAGACCCCUCACAUUGCUGGAAAUACCGGAUGGAGAAUCAGCCCACAAGUAGACACCUGCCCAGAGUAUUGUGCUGUUGUUAUGUCAGGAAUAAGGAAACAUGAAUGACCUUUUCAGGAAUUGCUUAUUCAUCUUUCAAGACCAUAGACUAAUUUUAAGAGCAUGGAUAUAAAAAACUGAAUCAGAAGAAGAAACAAAUUUAUUUAUUCACAUGUUUACAGUCUGUGUUCCUAACAGUGUAAGCACCCACCCCCCACCCCCGCAAGAAAACCAAAUCUCUAUUAACUGUGUUUUAAAUCUUGGGUGAGGCUUGGAACACAGAGCCUUCUGAUGCUCUUCUGUGAGUGACAGGUGAGGCGUUUCUGCCGAGUGUUUAAAAACACACAUCCACACAAUAAAAAUAGCAAGAAUUAGCCCAGAGCCUGGCAGAUUCCCUGGGUGAAUAAACAAGCCCUCAAUAUUUGGAUCUGAAGACCUUUCAGGAUGGGCUGUUUACCAUGGCUGCCCAGGAAUAAUUCCAGGAACGAAAUGAACUUUGGCACAGAGUGUACAGAAAAGUACCACCUGCUCCUCUUCCCCAGCCCAAAGCCCCAAACCACUCCACGUUCACCAAGUUAGAUGUACAGUAAAUAUUUAUUAUCUAGCAAUCAUUUUAGAACUUUUUCUUGUGUAACUCAGGAAUAUUUAUAUUCUGAAUUACUGGUUUGUCUUACAAGUCGAACACUCUCCCUUCAACCCAAAUAUAGAGAAAGGGGACCCUCUCUCAAUUACAGAAAAAGAGAAGGCAUUACUGAGCAUCUGUGUGACAAUGACCUCAUGAGAAAAGGUCUUGCUACAGCCUCUACUAAAAUAUAAUUUUAAAGUGUUAUGUGCUUACUCUGGUUUUUCUAAACAAGGUGAACUUUAAUGCCAAUCUAUUCCUUCUCUUUUCCAUCAUGGGUGAGAGAGUGUCUUCAUGACCACUGCACCACUGUUAAGAUGACUGGGUUAGAGAUGAUCUCUAACAGAAAAGAUUUAAACUUGAAACGUGGGCACGCACGCGCGCAUACACACACACA